GCUUAUGGCCAUACCAGUCUGAAUUCGUCUGAUCUCGGAAGCUAAGCAGGUUUGGGCUCGGGCCUGGUUAGCACGUGUAUGGAAGACUGCCUGGGAAUACCAGGUGCUGUAAGCU
ensembl:rRNA 5S_rRNA 5S ribosomal RNA